GAUGAACGCUGGCGGCGUGCCUAAUACAUGCAAGUCGAGCGAACGGACGAGAAGCUUGCUUCUCUGAUGUUAGCGGCGGACGGGUGAGUAACACGUGGAUAACCUACCUAUAAGACUGGGAUAACUUCGGGAAACCGGACCUAAUACCGGAUAAUAUUUUGAACCGCAUGGUUCAAAAGUGAAAGACGGUCUUGCUGUCACUUAUAGAUGGAUCCGCGCUGCAUUAGCUAGUUGGUAAGGUAACGGCUUACCAAGGCAACGAUGCAUAGCCGACCUGAGAGGGUGAUCGGCCACACUGGAACUGAGACACGGUCCAGACUCCUACGGGAGGCAGCAGUAGGGAAUCUUCCGCAAUGGGCGAAAGCCUGACGGAGCAACGCCGCGUGAGUGAUGAAGGUCUUCGGAUCGUAAAACUCUGUUAUUAGGGAAGAACAUAUGUGUAAGUAACUGUGCACAUCUUGACGGUACCUAAUCAGAAAGCCACGGCUAACUACGUG
rnacentral:rRNA from 1 species